ACAACUUUCAACAACGGAUCUCUUGGCUCUCGCACCGAUGAAGAACGCAGCGAAAUGCGAUAAGUAAUGUGAAUUGCAGAAUUCAGUGAAUCAUCGAAUCUUUGAACGCACCUUGCACCCUUUG
rnacentral:rRNA from 1 species